UGAACGCUGGCGGCAUGCCUAACACAUGCAAGUCGAACGAAGGCUUCGGCCUUAGUGGCGCACGGGUGCGUAACGCGUGGGAAUCUGCCCCUUGGUUCGGAAUAACAGUUGGAAACGACUGCUAAUACCGGAUGACGACGUAAGUCCAAAGAUUUAUCGCCGAGGGAUGAGCCCGCGUAGGAUUAGGUAGUUGGUGUGGUAAAGGCGCACCAAGCCGACGAUCCUUAGCUGGUCUGAGAGGAUGAUCAGCCACACUGGGACUGAGACACGGCCCAGACUCCUACGGGAGGCAGCAGUGGGGAAUAUUGGACAAUGGGCGAAAGCCUGAUCCAGCAAUGCCGCGUGAGUGAUGAAGGCCUUAGGGUUGUAAAGCUCUUUUACCCGGGAUGAUAAUGACAGUACCGGGAGAAUAAGCUCCGGCUAACUCC
rnacentral:rRNA from 1 species